UACGGAGGGUGCAAGCGUUGCUCGGAAUUACUGGGCGUAAAGGGCGUGUAGGCGGUUUCGUAUGUCUGGCGUGAAAGCCCCGGGCUCACCUCGGGAAGUGCGUCGGAAACUGCGAGACUAGAGUCCCGGAGAGGGAGGUGGAAUUCCAGGUGUAGCGGUGAAAUGCGUAGAUAUCAGGAGGAACACCUGCGGUGUAGACGGCUUUCUGGACCAUAACUGACGCUGAGAUACGAAAGCGUGGGUAGCAAACAGG
rnacentral:rRNA from 1 species